rnacentral:misc_RNA from 1 species
UAAAUACAACAUAAUAAAUUAAAAUGGAUCUUCUAAUCCGACUUCUUCGGCACUCUUCAAUCCUUAUAAUAAUUCAACUUCAGGAAUCCGUCCAACGAUUUAAGACUGACUCGUUGGAGAGAAGAAUAAGAUAAGCUUUGGCCUUUACGAGCGUCUCGAUAUGCGAGAGAAUGAGUUCCUCGUGAACUCAAAAUGAUUACACAUGCAAUCAAAGACAAAUAAGCGUGUAAGUGACAUAAACCACAUCCAAAUAAUCCUCUUUUAAUUUGAAACCUAAAGGGACAAAUCAUACAAGUUUCUAAAUUAAUGUAAGAAAACAAUAAAACCAUAGUUGAUUAAUACAACAGAUUUAGAACAAGUGAACAUAAGUCUCCAUCAAUAUUUUAGAUAA